rnacentral:rRNA from 1 species
GGACCCGCACAAGUAGUGGAGCAUGUGGUUUAAUUCGAAGAUACGCGCAGAACCUUACCAACACUUGACAUGUUCGUCGCGACUCUAAGAGAUUAGAGUUUUCGGUUCGGCCGGACGAAACACAGGUGCUGCAUGGCUGUCGUCAGCUCGUGUCGUGAGAUGUUGGGUUAAGUCCCGCAACGAGCGCAACCCUCACUUUUAGUUGCCAUCAUUAAGUUGGGCACUCUGAAAGAACUGCCAGUGAUAAGCUGGAGGAAGGUGGGGAUGACGUCAAGUCCUCAUGGCCCUUACGUGUUGGGCUACACACGUGCUACAAUGGUAUCUACAACAGGAAGCAAGACGGCGACGUUAAGCAAAUCCUCAAAAGAUACCUCAGUUCGGAUUGCACUCUGCAACUCGAGUGCAUGAAGCUGGAAUUACUAGUAAUCG